UCGAGAAUCUUUCGCAAUGCCCGAAAGGGUGACGAAGCGACGCCGCGUGUGGGAAGAAGGCCUUCGGGUUGUAAACCACUGUCGGGAGUUAGGAAAUGCAGGUGCGUUAAUAGCGCACUUGCUUGACUAAGGCUCCAGAGGAAGCCACGGCUAACUCUGUGCCAGCAGCCGCGGUAAUACAGAGGCGGCAAGCGUUGUUCGGAAUUAUUGGGCGUAAAGAGCACGUAGGCGGCCUUGCAAGUCAGUUGUGAAAGCCUUCCGCUUAACGGAAGAACGGCAUCUGAUACUACAGGGCUUGAGUACGGGAGGGGAGAGUGGAACUUCUGGUGGAGCGGUGAAAUGCGUAGAUAUCAGAAGGAACGCCGGCGGCGAAAGCGACUCGUCUGGUCCGAAACUGACGCU
rnacentral:rRNA from 1 species